rnacentral:snRNA from 1 species
GUGCUUGCUUUGGUGGCACAUAAACUAAAAUUGGAAUAAUACAGAGAAGAUUAACAUGGACCUUGUGCAAGGAUGAUAUGCAAAUUCUUGAAGUGUUCCAUAUUAAA